rnacentral:rRNA from 1 species
CCUACGGGAGACUGCAGUGGGGGAUAUUGCACAAUGGGGGAAACCCUGAUGCAGCGACGCCGCGUGUGGGAAGACGGUCCUCUGGAUUGUAAACCACUGUCCCCAGGGACGAAGAUGACGGUACCUGGGGAGGAAGCUCCGGCUAACUACGUGCCAGCAGCCGCGGUAAUACGUAGGGAGCGAGCGUUGUCCGGAAUUACUGGGUGUAAGGGGAGCGUAGGCGGGACUGCAAGUUGGGUGUCAAAUCUACCGGCUGAACCGGUAGCCGCACUCAAAACUGCAGUUCUUGAGUGAAGUAGAGGCAGGCGGAAUGCCUAGUGUAGCGGUGAAAUGCGUAGAUAUUAGGAGGAACACCAGUGGCGAAGGCGGCCUGCUGGGCUUUUACUGACGCUGAGGCUCGAAAGUGUGGGGAGCAAACAGGAUUAGAUACCCGAGUAGUC